CCUACGGGAGGCAGCAGUGAGGAAUAUUGGUCAAUGGACGAGAGUCUGAACCAGCCAAGUAGCGUGAAGGAUGACUGCCCUAUGGGUUGUAAACUUCUUUUAUAUGGGAAUAAAAUGUUCCACGUGUGGGUUUUUGUAUGUACCAUAUGAAUAAGGAUCGGCUACCUCCGUGCCAGCAGCCGCGGUAAUACGGAGGAUCCGAUCUUUAUCCGGCUUUAUUGGUGUUAAAGGGAGCGUAGGUGGAUUGUUCAGUCAGUUGUGAAAGUUUGCGGCUCAACCGUAAAAUUGCAGUUGAUACUGGCAGUCUUGAGUACAGUAGAGGUGGGCGGAAUUCGUGGGGUAGCGGUGAAAUGCUGAGAUAUCACGAAGAACUCCGAUUGAGAAGGCAGCUCACUAGACUGCAACUGACACUGAUGCUCGAAAGUGUGGGUAUCAAACAGGAUUAGAGACCCGAGUAGUC
rnacentral:rRNA from 1 species